rnacentral:rRNA from 1 species
GAUGAACGCUGGCGGCGUGCCUAAUACAUGCAAGUCGAGCGAACGGACGAGAAGCUUGCUUCUCUGAUGUUAGCGGCGGACGGGUGAGUAACACGUGGAUAACCUACCUAUAAGACUGGGAUAACUUCGGGAAACCGGAGCUAAUACCGGAUGAUAUUUUGAACCGCAUGGUUCAAAAGUGAAAGACGGUCUUGCUGUCACUUAUAGAUGGAUCCGCGCUGCAUUAGCUAGUUGGUAAGGUAACGGCUUACCAAGGCAACGAUGCAUAGCCGACCUGAGAGGGUGAUCGGCCACACUGGAACUGAGACACGGUCCAGACUCCUACGGGAGGCAGCAGUAGGGAAUCUUCCGCAAUGGGCGAAAGCCUGACGGAGCAACGCCGCGUGAGUGAUGAAGGUCUUCGGAUCGUAAAACUCUGUUAUUAGGGAAGAACAUAUGUGUAAGUAACUGUGCACAUCUUGACGGUACGUAAUCAGAAAGCCACGGCUAACUACGUG